UCUCAAAAUCGCUCAUGUUAUUGCUCCAAGCUGAUUCCAGAACCGCAUUAAAACCAGCUUUCUCUUGCUAAAGUCUUCAAAUGGCCGUUUUGGUUUGGUACUUUUUGUCUUCAAACAUCCGCUGAUUGAUUAUUUUUCACGUUAAAGGUGUUAUUUUCAGGCAUAAAAAGAUAUGAUAUUGCGGCAAGUUCUAAAAGAUAAAUGCUAUCGCAACAAGUUGAAACUGUUGUGUGCAAUGACGGUGGCUUGAAAGAUUCAAACGCAGAAUGGCUGAUGAAGGUAGGACAAACAUGUGCAGCCAGAGUGGCAAUGCUUUCCGCCAGAGGCGAAAUUUGCAUACGCUCGAGAAAAGUCACACAGAAACGUUUCCCUAGGGGUUUCAGCUCUCGAUAGACAUUGAUGAAGAGAGCAUAAGUUCACACUUAAACGUUCACGACAGGAGAGGGAACAAUCCUCGCACUUUCAGUUCUGACAUUUCCGGCUAUCUGGUGAUGACCCGUUACGAACUCACCGAGCACAUGCGCAGUCAUGAAGACAACUGGAGUCUGCCUGCAUACAAUGUGGUGCAUUGAUUAAGCACAGGCCAUUCCUGAAUCGGGAUAUAAGGCAACGUCGCAGGAAUGUUUGUGUAAUUUAAACCAGUGAAUACUUUGAAAAAUUGAUCAAGACAUGUUGAUCUUAAUUUUUUGUGGUACAUUCUGGUCAUUGUGUCAAAUAGCAUUUUUGUCAUGAUGCAACCCUCGUGCCUCUCUAUUUUUUUGUUCUUAAGCAGCUUUCAAAUUUAAAUAUCUGUUACUAUCAAAGCCAUUGACUUGUAACAUUAAAUAGUUAUUUGCUAUCAAAGUCUACACCAAUGAAACGAUUCCUGCUUCUUUGUUUGAAUUUGACAGAGUUAUGUCCGUUUCAACUAAGAAUGUUUUGGUUAAAGAUUUUGAUAAAGUCAAAUAUCGCUGUUAGUAUCUAAUUUUCUGACUUUUCUGAAUUUUCGGGACAUAAUACAUUAUUUUACAAUCAUUGUUUAUGUAUUAUUAUACAUGAAGUUACAUGUCUUUAAAAAUAAUAAAAUUGAAGCUGACAGUUCUGGAAUGUGUUAGUUGUAAAAUGUUACAAAUGUUUAAACGUAAAGUUCAAUCUACAUCAUGAUACAUGGCCUUAAAAGCUUAAGAGAAAUAACUGUGUAAUAACUAAAUUUUUUAACAUAAAGAAAUUCUUCAAAUUUUGUCUGUUGACUCAUGAUAAUGUCUGAAAUAGCAUUUUGAAAGAAACUUCUGAUGUCAGCAGUCUGAAUUUUUAGUCGAAAAGAAGAAAUGUCAAUUAACACGCCAACAUGCUGUGUAUCAUCUGUUGUCGAGUCCAAUUCUUACGCUAAUUUCAUUCCGCCUUGCACUAGUACUGCUGUCCCACGAAACACCAAGGGAUCCUUUUAACAGCAUUCCUGUAUAUGCUUAUAGUAGCUACCUUUUAUAGGCACAAGGCCCUAGUUCUCUUUGAGCGAUCGAAGUCGUAGUGCCUGUAACAAGCAAAAAAGUAAAGACAAAAACUGGUAAGUCUUAUAAGAUUCAAAUAAGACUUAUUAUAAAUGCAGAUGUGACGUGUCGUGUGCCUGCUAUAACAUAUCGCCACGUAUUUAAUCCCAAAGCAAAUGAAUACAUACAUGUACUGUUUACGGCAUGGCCAAGAGCGUCGAUAGUUUUGUUUUGCUCAUAGUUCCUUAUGAACAGACUCAACUCGAGUGUUGGUUUUGUUUGUCUUGCUUUCGACUGGUCUCUCCAGAGUUUAUUCAAUUAUUUUGUACUAUGACGCCGUUUCCUAUGAAGUUUGUUUGUUUUGCCGGUGCAAAGUGAGUUUACAGACUAGAAUUUCCCCUAUUCGAUUAUCAUUAUAGAUAAUAAUUUUGUUAAUGGUAUUAUUAUUACUAUUAUCAUUAUUAUUAUUGUUAUUAUU
rnacentral:lncRNA from 1 species